AUUGAACGCUGGCGGCAUGCUUUACACAUGCAAGUCGAACGGCAGCGGGGAGGAGCUUGCUUCUCUGCCGGCGAGUGGCGAACGGGUGAGUAAUACAUCGGAACGUGUCGAGAAGAGGGGGAUAACCACCCGAAAGGGUGGCUAAUACCGCAUAAAUUCUGAGGAAGAAAGCUGGGGACCUAGGAAUAGGCCUAGCGCUUUUUGAGCGGCCGAUGUCGGAUUAGCUAGUUGGUGAGGUAAAGGCUCACCAAGGCGAAGAUCCGUAGCGGGUCUGAGAGGAUGAUCCGCCACACUGGGACUGAGACACGGCCCAGACUCCUACGGGAGGCAGCAGUGGGGAAUUUUGGACAAUGGGGGCAACCCUGAUCCAGCCAUGCCGCGUGUAUGAAGAAGGCCUUAGGGUUGUAAAGUACUUUUGUUAGGGAAGAAAAGUCAGCUGUGAAUAAUGGCUGAUACUGACGGUACCUAAAGAAUAAGCACCGGCUAACUACGUG
rnacentral:rRNA from 1 species